rnacentral:rRNA from 1 species
UACGUAGGGAGCAAGCGUUGUUCGGAAUCAUUGGGCGUAAAGCGCGCGUAGGUGGCCUCAUAAGUCCGCUGUGAAAGUCAAAGGCUCAACCUUUGAAAGCCGGUGGAUACUGUGAGGCUAGAGUACGGAAGAGGCGAGUGGAAUUCCUGGUGUAGCGGUGGAAUGCGCAGAUAUCAGGAGGAACACCAAUAGCGAAGGCAGCUCGCUGGGACGUUACUGACACUGAGGCGCGAAAGCGUGGGGAGCGAACAGG